rnacentral:rRNA from 1 species
UGCAAGUCGAACGUGAUUCCCGACUUCGGUUGGGAUGAAAGUGGCGAACGGGUGAGUAACACGUAAGUAAUCUGCCUUCAAGUUUGGGAUAACCCUGCCAACGCGGGGCUAAUACCGGAUGUGGUCCAGCAGACCCAUGUUUGCGGGAUUAAAGGUCGCGAGACCGCUUGGAGAUGAGCUUGCGGCCCAUUAGCUAGUUGGUGAGGUAACGGCCCACCAAGGCAGGGAUGGGUAGCCGGCCUGAGAGGGUGUACGGCCACAUUGGGACUGAGAUACGGCCCAGACUCCUACGGGAGGCAGCAGUAGGGAAUUUUGCGCAAUGGACGGAAGUCUGACGCAGCAACGCCGCGUGAAGGAUGAAGGCCUUCGGGUUGUAAACUUCUGUUGGAUGGGAAAAAAAGCCUUUUAAGAGGAAUUGAUGGUACCAUUCGAGUAAGCACCGGCUAACUACGUGCCAGCAGCCGCGGUAAUACGUAGGGUGCGAGCGUUGUUCGGAAUCACUGGGCGUAAAGGGAGCGUAGGCGGAACUGUAAGUUAGAAGUUUAAUACAUGGGCUCAACCCGUGGUCUGCUUUUAAUACUGCGGUUCUUGAGUAUGGGAGAGGGCGAUGGAAUUCCAGGUGUAGCGGUGGAAUGCGUAGAUAUCUGGAAGAACACCAGUAGCGAAGGCGGUCGCCUGGCCCAAUACUGACGCUGAGGCUCGAAAGCUGGGGGAGCAAACAGGAUUAGAUACCCUGGUAGUCCCAGCCGUAAACGAUGGACACUAGUUGCCGGGAGAGUCAAUCCUUCGGUGACGAAGCUAACGCAUUAAGUGUCCCGCCUGGGGAGUACGCCCGCAAGGGUGAAACUCAAAGGGAAUUGACGGGGGCCCGCACAAGCGG